CUAAUGACAUGGGUUCAAAACCUAGAACAGAUGGAUGAAAUAUAGAGGCCAGUGUAUUCAAGAUUUCAGAGCUUUAGAAAACAUUAGGUUCAUGGCUAGCUUACAUUUUAUUGGUUUAGAGGCCUCUUGGCCGUAGGUUAAGAACAGGCAAACUAGUGUUUAAUCCUUUCACAUACACUCAAAUGCCUGUUGAAAUAUCUUCCCUUGAAGCCCAGUGUAGUUGCACAUGAACGGUCCAAAUACUUUAUGGUGCAAGACAGGACGGUGUUUAUUUUAAUUACUUAUAUCACUGUUUAUUUAUUUAUUUUGAAGUAUAUUUAUUUAUGAACUCAUUUUUUUGUCCUCCAUUGUAUCACUGCCACUGUACAGCGAGUUCAUCCAAACCGAACUCCUGUUCUACUCUGCGCUCUUGGCAACACAAUCUGCUUCUACAGAAGGAAACAGCGCUUCUUCCAGUGACAACAGCAUUUUGCAUAACAAAAGAGGAGGAAAUGGGAAAGAUGGAGGAAGGAGGCACGGACACAGAGGAAGCUCUCUACGAUUACAUCUGAUGGUCAGCCGUCGCUUUAAGCCACGAAGGGAAAAAGAAAUCUUCAACUUGACAGCGAAAGGUCACGGGAAAAGGAUGAGGUGGCGCCUCGCGACGCCGCCUUGAUCAUGGAGGAGCAUGAAAAGUGGUGGAUAAAGAUCUCAAGGCAUCGGGAAGCAACCGCACAGCUGUGUUCUGUAAGAAGAGCUUCUCUACCUCUAGAUACAAAAGCACAUACUGUAUACAGUACUGUAUGUGGAGAGAAUCAUAGUGGAAGUUAUGCUUGACCAUUCACAUCAUGAGGAAGUGGGCGCUUCCUAAAACUAACUGAAUUCUUAAAAAGAGCUUUUGCUGUUUGUUUAUCUCUGCUGAAAAGCCAAUGUAUUUGCAGCCUCAUGCAUUAAAACUAGCUUCCACAAAAUAAACAAAGAAAUAAUAAUAAAAUUACAAAUUAUGCUUAUUGGAGAAGAAAGGCCAAAUUUUCUAAUGUUUUCAUGAACGUGAGA